CCUACGGGAGGCAGCAGUGGGGAAUCUUCCGCAAUGGACGAAAGUCUGACGGAGCAACGCCGCGUGAGUGAAGAAGGUUUUCGGAUUGUAAAACUCUGUCUUUUGGGACGAACGGUCUCUAUGUGAAAAAUGUAGAGGAUUGACGGUACCAAAGGAGGAAGCCCCGGCUAACUACGUGCCAGCAGCCGCGGUAAU
rnacentral:rRNA from 1 species